AUUGAACGCUGGCGGCAGGCCUAACACAUGCAAGUCGAACGGUAACAGGAAGCAGCUUGCUGCUUUGCUGACGAGUGGCGGACGGGUGGGUAAUGUCUGUGAAACUGCCUGAUGGAGGGGGAUAACUACUGGAAACGGUAGCUACUACCGCAUAACGUCGCAAGACCAAAGAGGGGGACCUUCGGGCCUCUUGCCAUCGGAUGUGCCCAGAUGGGAUUAGCUAGUAGGUGGGGUAACGGCUCACCUAGGCGACGAUCCCUAGCUGGUCUGAGAGGAUGACCAGCCACACUGGAACUGAGACACGGUCCAGACUCCUACGGGAGGCAGCAGUGGGGAAUAUUGCACAAUGGGCGCAAGCCUGAUGCAGCCAUGCCGCGUGUAUGAAGAAGGCCUUCGGGUUGUAAAGUACUUUCAGCUGGGAGGAAGGGAGUAAAGUUAAUACCUUGGCUCAUUGACGUUACCAGCAGAAGAAGCACCGGCUAACUCCGUG
rnacentral:rRNA from 1 species